AUCCAUAGGACCAUAGUGGAUAAAUGUGCCUUUGAUUCAAACAAACGCACAUAAAUACAUAAGACAGUUAUAUCAUAUAAAAACAUUAUAAUAACGUGUAUCCUAACUGGGGUGACCCUUUUGAGCCAAGGGUUUAGGCCUAAUGAAUUUUGAAGAAAAUAUAUGCCCUUUUAAAGCCAGUCCAUUAUCCCUCAAAAAACUUCAUAGGUAUACAUAAAUGACAUAUAUGCCUACAAAAGUUACAAAAAAGGGAUACAAUCUUUAGGGAUAGGGGAAAAAAUAACAUGAGAAAAAGAAUAAUAUCCCACACAAGGGAUAGUAAAUAUUAGUUCUUGAAUGCUUUUCUAUCAGCUUUCGUCCUCUGAACUUUGUCCAUUUCUUGUCAUUGGCGAUAUCCGUUGAUGAUCAAGCAAUUUUUGUAUAUCUGUGCUCUAAAUACAACCAUCCAAAUGGAUCCAUUUCUUUCUUGGCUUGCUUCAAUUCCUUAUUCGAUUGGUGUGUGAUUGAGGCAUCUUUACAUGAAGUAAGCAAAGAAAGCCUUCUCCUGACCCCCAAAGGAUAAUGGACUGUAUUAAAUAAACAUAUAUUUCUUCAACACUUAAUGAUUCAUCUGUAAUUGACUCGGGAUCAAUAGAUGCAGGGUAAGUUUGCUAAUGGGCCCAAUACCCCCUCGAAUAUUGGGUCAUCCUAGGCUCAUACCUAAACUAGGGUUUUAAUUUUUCUCUAUCCCAGAUGUCUAGAGUGGGUUUGAACCAGGUUCUAAAGGGGACGACUUGAGUUUGAAAAUAUAAACAACCAUCAAAUGACUCACGUGCUAAUAAACCGUCGUAUUUUCAACACUUUAUUUAGAGUUGAACAACAGGGGCCGGGACAUCAACAAAACCCCAAAACAAUUUAAUAAAUUAAUGCAAGAUUAUGCUAUGAUAUGCAAUAAUUAAAUUCCACAAAAUUGAAACAUAUAAACAUGUAUGUAAUUUAAACAUUAAGUCAAAAAGAUAAAAUCAAACAUUUGGUUAUAACCUAAUUAAAAUUCCCCGCAGAGUCACCAUUUUUGUUUGCGAAAAUUUUGACUUUUGAAGAGUCGCCACUUAAUUUUGAAAAGAAAUUAAAAAACCUUUAUAAGAUACUUUAAACGAUCCAAAAAAGAUAAAUCAUUAAAAAUUUGAAGAUUCUGAGUAAGCGAUUUCUAUUAACGUUUUACGAAGGCUUAAGGCACCUAAAACGUCCGCUAACUUGCGGUUAUCUGGACUAUUUGAAAACAUCUUUUGAAUAACUUCUAAAAGAUUGAUUUGUUGAAAAGUGAUUAAUAUUUUUGGAAAGGACUUGUGUAAAAUAUCUUUGGACGACUUAGCAGGGAUUUUAACUAAGUCUAAACAAGCUAAUAAGCAAAUAAACACAUAAAAGGGGAAAGGAAGGAUGAAGUAAAAGACUUAGGCCAUUGGACUCAAAUCAACGAAACCUGUCCUAAUCUAUGUUUUCGAUCCUUUUUUACACAAAAUCCGCUUCACCUAUAUUAAAUUUACAACUUUGGAUUCGAGGCCCAAAAUGAAUAAAUAAAUAAUUGAUUGAAUGAAAAUAAGUAAAUGAAGGAAACACUGAAAGUAAAAAUAAUGAGACUUUCAAGUCUCCUUUGCCGCUUCAAAGAUAGGCCUUUAACCCCUUCUUCUUCUUUAAUCUCCCCGUAUUCAUGCACUAGACCCAAUUGCCAUAUUUCAUAGCUUAUAUAAAGUGUUUUCAACACACUACACAAAAAAAACUGCAGAGAGAAUCUAAGCGAAAGAAAAUCAACAAUUGCAAAUGCCUACACAGUUUAGCAAGAUUUUGAAGAAAACUAAAAUGCAUCAUUUGAAUAACAUCUUUACAAUGAAGGAGUCAAGAAAAGCCAAAAUUCUGAACUCUAGUAUCCGAAAAACAUCGCAUACUUAAUAGGCAAAAUAAAUUAUAACAUUUUUCAUUUUUAGAUAAAAUCGAAUCGUGACGGCGAGGAGGGUAAAACUAACCAGAACAAGAGAAAGAAAACAACUUAGUGAGAGGGAUGCAAAAAGAAGGAACAUGAACAAGAUACAAGGAUUAAACAUUUUUGCCAAAUCAUGGCUUCUAAAAAAAAUCGAUAAAGUAAGAUCCUAAUCAAUUCAUCAACAGUAUGCAUACAAUUGCACAGUCUGGCAGUAAUUGUAUUUAAAACAUACAAGACUGGAAACAAAGACAAGUUAAAACCUUUGUAAACUCAAGAAUGUACAUAUGCACAACUUUCUUGGCAUAACGACGGCAAUGACUAUAACAAAGUACUCAAUUGCGGAUAAAAUGGAAAUGACAAAAGAAAAAAUAAAAUCACAUUUUUGAAGAAAACCAAUAAAACAAAGGUCGUGGGAAAACAAAAUUAACAAUUUGCCUCCAAGUUUGAUUUUUCAAAAUCAUGACUCUAAAUAUAACCCCACUACAAAUUGCUCGACAAACAAACGCAUAUUAACAAGUUAGCACCCUUUUUUUCUUUUUUUUCUUUUUGAAUAAGGGAGUCAACACUCCUAACAUCUAUAUCAGCGUAGCAAUUAGCAGUUGAAGAUUCACACACAACGAAUAUGGAAUUUCAAGAAUAGACAAAAACAAAACAAAGAAAGGAUCUUUUUAGAGAAACACUACCAACACAAAGCAAUAUUAAGAGUACAUACAUAUUCAUAACUAUAUGUAAAUUAUAUAAAAAAAAAUAGCUAAGGAUUUUCAACAGAGAAUCAAAAUAGUGAACUUUUACGAAAAGAGCAAAAACUAAAACAUAAGACUAACAAUGAAUCAACAUGUUAAAAGCACCAUCUUCAUCACCUAAUCCUUCGUCGCUCCCAGCAAGCAACAUCAUCGAAACAACUACAGAAUAGAGAAACGAAGCAGAGAUACUCAAAACUAAAUGGAAUAGAAUGUUACCUGUUUCAGAGUAACAAAACGGGAUUUGAGUUGUCGUCGAAAUCUCCCCUCCACCACCAAAAGACUUCUAUGACUCCGAGAACACCUCGACUUUCUCAUGAUGAGAAUUUUUUUACUAAAAAAAUGAUGUUUUGCUGGAAAGUUUUUCACCUCCUAGACUUGGUAUUUUUCAGCUCAGUCCUCCCUUUUAUAGAAGAAAUAUUUUAGGUUCAAAUUUAUGCUGCAACCGAUGUGGGAAAAUGGGAUUGAAGGGUAAUUUCGAAAAUUUAAGGGAAUCACCUUAUGAGCUGGACACCAUCUAUCUCAAAAUUGUUUUGUAUGAAUUUCAAAUUUUGAAAUUUAAACGAGGGUAGGGUGUCAAUAUCGGGUUAAAAAUGUCGGGUUGCUGAUGGGUCUAUCGGGUUGGUGCUAGUUUCGGGUCAAAACUGUCGGGUUAGUUAAGGGUCAAAUCUCGGGUUAUCACUGAUCACUGUUUGUGCAUCGUAUUUUGUUGCUGAUGUUAUGCUGUUUUUGUGUCAUUGAAUUGCUGCAAGAUUGUUAAAGAAGAAAUACAAAGGGUCGGGUCAAGAUUGUAUUGGGCCGAGCUGAUAUUGUUUGAGGUAGGCUGCUAAUAUGUUAUUGGGUCAAGGGUAAAAGGGAAGGAAACUGGGCUGGUUUGGGCUGGUAGCUGUUGUUUGAAUUGGGUUGGGGUUAUCUU
rnacentral:lncRNA from 1 species